rnacentral:rRNA from 1 species
AUUGAACGCUGGCGGCAGGCUUAACACAUGCAAGUCGAGCGGGGGAGGUUGCUUCGGUAACUGACCUAGCGGCGGACGGGUGAGUAAUGCUUAGGAAUCUGCCUAUUAGUGGGGGACAACAUUCCGAAAGGGAUGCUAAUACCGCAUACGCCCUACGGGGGAAAUCAGGGGAUCUUCGGACCUUGCGCUAAUAGAUGAGCCUAAGUCGGAUUAGCUAGUUGGUGGGGUAAAGGCAUACCAAGGCGACGAACUGUAGCGGGUCUGAGAGGAUGAUCCGCCACACUGGGACUGAGACACGGCCCAGACUCCUACGGGAGGCAGCAGUGGGGAAUAUUGGACAAUGGGCGGAAGCCUGAUCCAGCCAUGCCGCGUGUGUGAAGAAGGCCUUUUGGUUGUAAAGCACUUUAAGCGAGGAGGAGGCUCUUAAGGUUAAUACCCUUGAUGAGUGGACGUUACUCGCAGAAUAAGCACCGGCUAACUACGUGCCAGCAGCCGCCGUAACAC